rnacentral:misc_RNA from 1 species
GGGUGCUUCUAGAAGAAAGGAUAAUACAAUCUUUCAGUCCACUAAAACACAAAAGCAAGUUGACAAGCAAAUACGAAAUGCUUGUACAAUAUAGUGAAGUCACUCCAAACAGCGGCUUGUUUGGUUACUUUCAACAGGUAGUCUAAUUUUUAUUUGAAAACUGCAAGCAGGAAGCAGAGGACAGUGGGUACCCAUAUCCACAUGCAUAUCAGACACAUUUAGUCUUUAUGCUUCACUUC